CGAAGGGUGCAAGCGUUACUCGGAAUUACUGGGCGUAAAGCGUGCGUAGGUGGUUUGUUAAGUCUGAUGUGAAAGCCCUGGGCUCAACCUGGGAAUGGCAUUGGAUACUGGCGAGCUAGAGUGCGGUAGAGGGCAGUGGAAUUCCCGGUGUAGCAGUGAAAUGCGUAGAGAUCGGGAGGAACAUCUGUGGCGGAGGCGACUGCCUGGACCAGCACUGACACUGAGGCACGAAAGCGUGGGGAGCAAACAGGAUUAGAUACCCUGGUAGUCCACGCCCUAAACGAUGCGAACUGGAUGUUGGGAGCAACUAGGCUCUCAGUAUCGAAGCUAACGCGUUAAGUUCGCCGCCUGGGGAGUACGGUCGCAAGACUG
rnacentral:rRNA from 1 species